UACGUAGGGGGCGAGCGUUGUCCGGAUUUAUUGGGCGUAAAGAGCUCGUAGGCGGCUUAGCAAGUCGGGUGUGAAAACUCCAGGCUCAACCUGGAGACGCCACUCGAGACUGCUAUGGCUAGAGUCCGGUAGGGGACCACGGAAUUCCUGGUGUAGCGGUGAAAUGCGCAGAUAUCAGGAGGAACACCGGUGGCGAAGGCGGUGUUCUGGGCCGGCACUGACGCUGAGGAGCGAAAGCGUGGGGAGCAAACAGG
rnacentral:rRNA from 1 species